ACCAGCCCCAAACCAGCUCCAAAUGUCCCCCAAAAUAGCCCAAAGACAGUUCCAAAACAGCCCCAAACCAGACCCAAACCAGACCCAAACCAGCUCCAAACCAUCCCCAAACCAGCUCCAAACCAGCACCAAACCAGCCCCAAACCAGCUCCAAACCAUCCCCAAACCAUCCCCAAACCAGCACCAAACCAGCCCCAAACCAGCUCCAAACCAUCCCCAAACCAGCUCCAAACCAGCCCCAAACCAUCCCCAAACCAGCUCCAAACCAGUCCCAAAACAGCCCCAAACCGGACCCAAACCAGACCAAAACCAGCUCCAAACCAGCCCCAAACCAGCCCCAAACCAGCUCCAAACCAGCCCCAAACCAGCCCCANNNNNNNNNNNNNNNNNNNNNNNNNNNNNNNNNNNNNNNNNNNNNACCCCAAACCAUCCCCAAAACAGCCCAAAAAGAGCUCCAAACCAGCCCCAAACAGCUGCAAACCAUCUCCAACCCAGCCCCAAAUAAGCUCCAAACCAGCUCCAAACCAGCCCCAAACCAGCUUUAAACCAUCCCCAAACCAGCCCCAAACCAGACCAGCCCCAAACCAGCCCCAAACCAGCCCCAAACCAGCCCCAAACCAGCCCCAAACCAGCCCCAAACCAGCCCCAAACCAGCCCCAAACCAGCCCCAAACCAGCCCCAAACCAGCCCCAAACCAGCCCCAAACCAGCCCCAAACCAGCCCCAAACCAGCCCCAAACCAGCCCCAAACCAGCCCCAAACCAGCCCCAAACCAGCCCCAAACCAGCCCCAAACCAGCCCCAAACCAGCCCCAAACCAGCCCCAAACCAGCCCCAAACCAGCCCCAAACCAGCCCCAAACCAGCCCCAAACCAGCCCCAAACCAGCCCCAAACCAGCCCCAAACCAGCCCCAAACCAGCCCCAAACCAGCCCCAAACCAGCCCCAAACCAGCCCCAAACCAGCCCCAAACCAGCCCCAAACCAGCCCCAAACCAGCCCCAAACCAGCCCCAAACCAGCCCCAAACCAGCCCCAAACCAGCCCCAAACCAGCUCCAAACCAGCCCCAAACCAGCCCCAAACCAGCCCCAAACCAUCCCCAAACCAGCCCAAACCAGCCCAAACCAGCCCCAAACCAGCCCAAACCAGCCCAAACCAGCCCAAACCAUCCCAGAGCAGGAGCCCCACCCGCGGGCCCCACUUCGCUCCCGUUGCAGGCCAGGCCGCUGCGGGGCGCUGGGCCAGGCCCCCUCUGCCUUCUGA
rnacentral:lncRNA from 1 species